CCCCUAGAUGUUCUGGGCCGCACGCGCGCUACACUGAACAGUUCAACAAGUCUUAACCUUGGCCGAUAGGUCUGGGUAAUCUUUGAACGCUGUUCGUGAUUGGGAUAGACCUUUGCAAUUAUGGGUCUUCAACGAGGAAUUCCUAGUAAACGCAAGUCAUCAGCUUGCAUUGAUUACGUCCCUGCCCUUUGUACACACCGCCCGUCGCACCUACCGAUUGAAUGGUCCGGUGAAAUCUCGGGACGGCGGCUUGGUCGCUUGCGUCCGACUGCUGAAACUUGAUUAAACCAUAUCAUCUAGAGGAAGGUGAAGUCGUAACA
rnacentral:rRNA from 1 species